rnacentral:rRNA from 1 species
UACGUAGGGGGCUAGCGUUGUCCGGAAUCAUUGGGCGUAAAGCGCGCGUAGGCGGCCCGGUAAGUCCGUUGUGAAAGUCAAAGGCUCAACCUUUGAAUGCCGAUGGAUACUGCCGGGCUCGAGUCCGGAAGAGGCGAGUGGAAUUCCUGGUGUAGCGGUGGAAUGCGCAGAUAUCAGGAGGAACACCGAUAGCGAAGGCAGCUCGCUGGGACGGUACUGACGCUAAGGCGCGAAAGCGGUGGGGAGCGAACGAGGA